UAGGGAAUCUUCGGCAAUGGACGAAAGUCUGACCGAGCAACGCCGCGUGAGUGAAGAAGGUUUUCGGAUCGUAAAACUCUGUUGUUAGAGAAGAACAAGGACGUUAGUAACUGAACGUCCCCUGACGGUAUCUAACCAGAAAGCCACGGCUAACUACGUGCCAGCAGCCGCGGUAAUACGUAGGUGGCAAGCGUUGUCCGGAUUUAUUGGGCGUAAAGCGAGCGCAGGCGGUUUCUUAAGUCUGAUGUGAAAGCCCCCGGCUCAACCGGGGAGGGUCAUUGGAAACUGGGAGACUUGAGUGCAGAAGAGGAGAGUGGAAUUCCAUGUGUAGCGGUGAAAUGCGUAGAUAUAUGGAGGAACACCAGUGGCGAAGGCGGCUCUCUGGUCUGUAACUGACGCUGAGGCUCGAAAGCGUGGGGAGCAAACAAG
rnacentral:rRNA from 1 species